rnacentral:rRNA from 1 species
AACGAACGCUGGCGGCAUGCCUAACACAUGCAAGUCGAACGAGACCUUCGGGUCUAGUGGCGCACGGGUGCGUAACGCGUGGGAAUCUGCCCUUGGGUUCGGAAUAACAGUUAGAAAUGACUGCUAAUACCGGAUAAUGUCUUCGGACCAAAGAUUUAUCGCCCAGGGAUGAGCCCGCGUAGGAUUAGCUAGUUGGUGAGGUAAAGGCUCACCAAGGCGACGAUCCUUAGCUGGUCUGAGAGGAUGGUCAGCCACACUGGGACUGAGACACGGCCCAGACUCCUACGGGAGGCAGCAGUGGGGAAUAUUGGACAAUGGGCGAAAGCCUGAUCCAGCAAUGCCGCGUGAGUGAUGAAGGCCUUAGGGUUGUAAAGCUCUUUUACCCGGGAUGAUAAUGACAGUACCGGGAGAAUAAG